rnacentral:rRNA from 1 species
AGGACGAACGCUGGCGGCGUGCUUAACACAUGCAAGUCGAGCGGAAAGGCCCUUCGGGGUACUCGAGCGGCGAACGGGUGAGUAACACGUGAGCAACCUGCCCUACGCUUUGGGAUAACCCUCGGAAACGGGGGCUAAUACCGGAUAUUCAUCUCCUGUCGCAUGGUGGGGGUUGGAAAGUUUUUCGGCGUGGGAUGGGCUCGCGGCCUAUCAGCUUGUUGGUGGGGUGAUGGCCUACCAAGGCGACGACGGGUA